UCUCCGAGAAAUGGGGUGGCCCCAAAAUCCUGUGAUGAGCCCCCAACUGAAAGACCCCCAUUUCUGGGGAGACUCUCGCUCAAGUCCCAGGAUGAGCCAAUGCCCCAAUAACUCAAGAGAAACU
rnacentral:pre_miRNA from 7 species